CGAACGACGAACGACUUCCACGCGGCCAACGGCUUCCACAGUGAACGGCUGCCACGGCAAACGGCAAACGACAAACCUCUUCGGCACGGCGAACUGCUUCCGCGUUCAAAGGUAUGUAAGUUCAACGGAUGAGGCCGAGAUGGCUUUCGUUCAUCUAAAGAUGUGGUUCCCCAUCAAGACAUUUGCUCAAGAAGUUACAAGAAGAUGCAAACCCUAGUUUGUUUUUGUGAUUUAUCAGAUUGAAGAGCCUUCUUUGAUCGUUCCAAGAAGAGUCCCCUUUCACUUUUUUUCCUUAGGCUGGUUACUUGGAUGCCUUUUGGCUUUACCUAUGAAUUACUUAGUAGUCAGUAUUUCAGAACAAUGUUUAAUUAUGAAGAUUAGUUGGUUAGCUUCUUGGUUAUUCAGUAUCCUGUCAAUAGUAAUAAUAUUGAUGAU